rnacentral:lncRNA from 1 species
UUCCAGGUCAUUUGCAUUGUAUAACUACAUUAUCUGACCUCUUUUCCUCUCCCUUCCUUUCUCCCUUUCAUUUCUUUUCUAGUCUCUCCUUCCUUCUCUCUCCCCUCUCUUCCUUGUUUUUCAUUUUUUUAAAAAUAAAUUCUAUUGGUCAAAUAACUUAGAAGUACUUUUUUAUUUUUCUUUAAGUCUUUAAAAGUGUUUUUAAAUUGACUAAAGUUACGUUUUAAAAGUAAAUAGAUAGGGGCUGGAGAGAUGGCUCAGCAAUUAAGAGCACUGACUGCUCUUCCAGAGGUCCCGAGUUCAAUUCCCAGCAACCACAUGGUGGCUUACAACCAUCUCUAAUGCGAUCUGAUGCCCUCUUCUGAUGUGUCUAAAGACAGCGACAGUGUACUCAUAUACAUAAAAUCAAUAAAUAAAUCUUAAAAACAAAACAAAAAGACGCUAAAAAAAUAAAAUAAAAGUAAAUAGAUAAAAAAAAUAUGUGAUAGACUGUAGAUAACAGUAAAUGACUAAGGCUCCUUAGGAGAAAUUUCGUUAUCUAGAAAAGAUUAUUGUAUGGGUAGGUUAUUAUAUUACUAAUGAAUUAACUGAAUUUGCAUAUUUGAAGGACUAUGUGUGGGAGCGUGUGUGUGUGUGUGUGUAUGUCUGUGUGUGUGUCUGUGUGUUCGUUCAUGUUCGUGUGGAAACCAGAAGACAGCCAUGAGUAUUACUCCUCAGGAGGCAUACAUCUUGUUUUUUGAGACAAGUUUUCUUGUUGGCCUAGAGCUCACCAAGCUGCCAGCUUUAGAAAAAAAAAAUGUGUGUGUGUGCAUACUAAUGGAUGAUGUGUGUGAAUGUGGACAUGUGUGUCAUGCCUGUGUGGUGUGUAAACAGCUUUCUGAAGUGGAGCUAGUCUUUCCUUCUGCCUUUAUUCUGGUUCUGGUUCUGGGGAUAAGGCUUGCACAGUAUGGCAGGCACUUUUUGAGUUCUCCUCUUGCUUUGUCCUAUUAAUAGAAAGCAUUUUCUCUCACAAUGUAUUUACUUUUAAAUGCUUAUUUAAUUGAGAUGGGAUCUUGCUAUAUUGUCUGUAUUGACCCCUACUGACCUAAAAUGUAUAAUCCUACUAUUCCAGCCUCCCAAAGUAGCUGGGACUAUAGGUCCAUGCUAUUGGCCUUCUCCCUCCCACCAUCCCACCCCACCUCCCCCAAAAAAAUCUUUCUUUGAGACUGGGUCCUAUGUAGCUCAGACUGGCCUUAAGUUUACUACAUAAUUGACAAUGGCUUUGAAGUUCUGAUCCUCCUACCUCUAAAUCCUAAAUUCUGGGAUAACAGGUGUGUAUCACUACACCUAGUUUUAUGCAAUACUAGGGUUCAUACUCAGGUUUUCUUGCAUGCUAGGCAAGAACUCUACUUACUAACUGAGCUUUGUGUCCAUUACUGUUUGAUUUGUAGAUGUGUAAAUAAUUUUACAGUUCUUUAUUUUCUAGGGGUGUGUGUGUGUGUAUAGAUUUAUGUGAAAGCCAGAGGUUGAUUGACAUUGGAUGUUUUCCUAAUUCUUCAUUUGUUUCUCCACUUGUUUUUAGUUUACUUAUUUGUUUGGUUUAGUUUUGUUUUUUUUUUUUUUUUUUUUUUUUUUUGAGACAGGGUUUCUCUACAUAGCCCUGGCUGCCCUGGAACUUGCUCUGUAGAUCAGGCUAUCCUCUAACUCAGAGAUGUAUCUGCUUCUGCCUUCUGAGUUCUAGGAUCAAAGGUGUCCCCACAACUGUCUAGCUUCUACUUGAUUUUAAAAGAGGAUCUCUCGUUGAUCCUGGUUGGCUGGAAAGCCCCAGGGAUCUUCCUGUCUCUCUUCCCAGUGCUGGGAUUACAGGCUUGGGCCACUGUUCUGACUUUUAUGUGUGUUUUGGGGAUUUGAACCAAGACCCUCAUUAUAGAAUGGCAAGCACUCUGGGCUGCUGAGAUGGCUCAGUGGUUAAGAGCACUGACUGUUCUUCCGAAGGUCCUGAGUUCAAAUCCUAGCAACCACAUGGUGGCUUACAACCACCCUUAAUGAGAUCUGAUGCCCUCAUCUGGUGUGUCUGAAGUCAUCUACAGUGUAUUUAUGAUAAUAAAGACUGAAGAAGUAGAGUUGACCAGAGCAAGCAGGGCCAACCAGAGCGAGCAGAGGUCCUAAAAACUCAAUUCCCAACAACCACAUGAAGGCUCACAACUAUCUGUACAGCUAGUUGUACUCACAUGCAUAAAAUAAAUAAAUAAAUCU